rnacentral:rRNA from 1 species
UUGCUGUUUUGACGUUACCGACAGAAUAAGCACCGGCUAACUCUGUGCCAGCAGCCGCGGUAAUACAGAGGGUGCAAGCGUUAAUCGGAAUUACUGGGCGUAAAGCGCGCGUAGGUGGUUCGUUAAGUUGGAUGUGAAAUCCCCGGGCUCAACCUGGGAACUGCAUUUGUGACUGUAUAGCUAGAG